rnacentral:hammerhead_ribozyme from 1 species
AUACAUCUGACGAGUCCUAAAUAGGACGAAACGCGCGUCCUGGAU